GGGACUGUCCCUCCGAAAAAGGGACAGUUGGGAGGUAUGAUUUAAAUAAAAGACAAAGUGGGAAAGGAGAAGGGAAAAUGGAGUUGUUUUGAAGGGGUUAACCCAACUAUUAAAACAUUUACAAGGAAAACUCAAUAAUAAUUUUUUAUUUAGGGUGGUGGCAGACGUGCAGAUUCGGGGAGAUUAGUCACCCAGCGACAAAUCUCCUGUACUGCAGUUGCCUUGUGAGGCAAGUUCGGACGACUUCAGAAAAAGAAACAAUACGAAUACCGGUGAUUAAUCUCCCUGAAAUGCUGGAAGGCUGUUCGGCGCUGUUUUUAGAAGCCUUAACAGACAAGGAAAGGCUAGAAAAGAGUUUACCUCCAUUGAAAGUCAUGCAUCCAGCGUUGCCAUUUGUCAUAUCCAUUCUCCUCUAUGUCAAGCCCUUUUUCAGUUCAGUUGCUAGAUUAUAGUAGAAACCGCUGAUUUAAGUAAAAGAUGAAUCACCUCUCCUUCUCCAAGGCCAGUGGGCAUGCACAGAAAGUAGAAUAAUCAGGCAGCGCAUGUAAUAUUUGCGAGUGCGUCUUGUAAAGUUUAAGAAUUUUUGACCCAAGUGUUCUGGAUAACAGAUCCCAUACCUGUACUAAAUGACUUUAGUAAGAUCGCAUUCCUGAAAUGAUUUUUAAGCUCAGAAAGUGAAUUUCAAAGCAUACAAUAUGAAAACGCUCAUCUGCAUUGACACCUCAAUCAGAUAAAACCAAAACAUUCUCUAUACAAAUUGGUAUAAUGGCUCUGCAACUGUCUGCAUCUGUACUAUUAUAACUACAUUUUUCAGAACGUUAUCAGGCCCAGAACGGCUUGUAUUUUCUAACGCAAUUAAAUAUUAGUUGUAAUUGCAUCUUGUUUUAAUGAUUUAUGUAGCUCUUAUACUGAUGAGGUUUUUCAGCUUUCAGUUUGCCACUCCCGGGUACUGUAGUUGCAGACGACUACAGAGACUUGCACAAAAGGAGUCAUAUUCAUAAGAUCUAAUUGGAUGUUACAUACAGUUGUGUAUCUGUGUUGUCCCAGCUGGGAUUACAUUGGCAUACACUUAUCAAGCUCAGCAGCCCACACUUUCCAUAAUCGCUAGGUGCAGUUUUAAUCACUAUGUUGUUUUUGUAUAAAGCUGGCCAGGCACAUUAUAAUCAUCUUAUUUGGCUAGCUAAUCAAAUGAGUCAAUUUUUGAUCAAUGAAUGCACUGGCAGACUGGACAUUUUACCAUUAGUGUUUCCAGCAUGGUCACAAAAUAUCCAAAGUUUCCUUCCUACUGGAAUUAAUGUAAAUCGUCAUUUGCACAUGAAUUGCAUAGUAGCAUGAAAUUGUCUUGAAAAGCAACUUUGGGCUACUAAAUGCUUCCCCACCUUCAAUUUACAUUAAUAGCAAUAGGAGGAAAUGAAGGGUGGGUGACAAAAACUGUUAUGUAAACCUUCAGCCCUAGGAGUCAACGGAUAGAUUUCAUUUACAAGCACAACUACACAAAUGUGUACAGGAAGGAUUGGGAACAAGGAGCCAAGCACAAUGACGUCAGACGUGGAGUGCAUGUCGAAAACCUGGAAGCAGCGUGAGCAUGUAUCACUUAGGAUCAGUGCGCAACAAAAACGGAGAUGGCGGUUGAGUCCCCGCAGGUGUAACUGCCAACACAGCAGACUCCGGGGGCCCUAGAAAACAAGGGGUGCUGAUUGGGAAACUAGAUGAUGCCCAGUUUCAGUAUCUAUACAGUGUUUUUGAAUGACCUAGCUACACUUCUCAUCUCAGAUGACUGCUUUCUUCAACAAGAAUCCUGGCCCCGGCACCAAUUAGAAUUACACAGUGCCCUCAGGGUGUCAGUGUCAGUCUCUUGGAUAAGUGAUAUCUGUUACUGUCAACUGCUAGACAAAAGCAGACAGGUAUUCUUUCUAUAUGUCUCAUUAAAGUGGACAAUAGUAUCUAAGUCUGCAUUGUCUGGCUAUAAAAAAAGUUGUACGUACAAAGUGAAUCUUUACUUUGUACUUUGUAAUGUGUUCUUGCUUUUGGGAUUAUUUUCCCCUUCCUGGUUAAAGGUGAGAAAAACAAUAAAAAAUGCUAUAUUUUCUCCAGGUCUAGUAACCCAUAGCAACCAAAUAUUUGUAAUGUAAACCCUCAAUAAAAGUAUUUGUUACCCCCUAAAUCUUACAAGUAGGUGUUCUAAACAUUAAUUAGUUUUCUCAGCUUCUCCUCUACUAGGCAGAUGCCAGAAUGAUCAACAACCACAGAUAUUUCUUAAUUAAUACAACAGACAAAAAGUAUCUUCAGAAAAGAGAUGUGCAUUGUCCAUUUAAACAUCAGAACGGCAGGCUUAGUGCUAGACAAAAAAAGCAACAUUUAUUUACAAGUGUGCAAAGUGCAAUUUUUGGACACAAAAUACAUUUCCAGUUUUUUUAUGCAGUGUUACUUUAAAAAUAAAACACUUUGCAUGAAAGAGAAUGUGUGCUCCAUCCGCUAUGGGAAGCAGAAGGGCUUCACAAAAGAAUAAGGUGAAGUAGGGGUGGCAUAACAUUAGGGGCCAUUCUUCGCCCCUGAGAAAAGCAAGAGCUUGAAGGGGUGCAAGAGCAUGACCCUCAGUGUUUAUUUGCUAAGCAUUUCACCCCUUUUAUGAUUUGCUCUGCACUGAGCACUGGUUAGAAAAAAGAUCAAGAUAUACAGGGCAGGUAUGGGCAGUAAGGGGACAACAUCUAUGUUCCUCUUCCAACCUGACCAUCUUAAAUGAAAGACUGCUGUAAGCAAAGUGCAAAAAAUGGCACAAUCUGCCUCUGAUGUGGGCACCUUAUCUCCUCCAAAUGCUUUCCCAACAGCUAACAUGUUUCGCUGCUAUAGAAACAUUUGUGGCACAGUCAGGGCAGCCAUCAGGGGGGGACAGGGGGGAGAGUUGUAGGGGGCCCCGUGGGUAAGGGGGGCCCAGCCACGCCACACUUUCUUGAUUAGCCAGGCCCCCUGCUUUCUGAGAGCUGCUGACUCCGGGAAGGCAGGGCGGGAGCACAAGAGGAGGUAUCAUCUGUUCAUUACUUCACCUUAUUGGUCACUGAGUUUAAGCCCCGGUUGAGCUGCUCAGGGAUUGGAUAGCAGAGGUUUGAAUUUCUCCUCCAACUCAUCCAAUCACCAUGCAGCUUUACCAGGACUUGAAAUUCUGUGACCAGUAAGGGAAGAAAAUGCUGUCACUGGAAGUAGAUGCAGCCACCUGUGCUCCCCUCCUCCCUUCUGUAGUUGGCAGCUCACUGACAGCAGGUGGGCCGCACUAAUGAAGUUUAACAUGGCACGCCCCCCUAAAGGUAACCCUUUGUGGUCCCUGUUGUGUGGUGGGGCCCUGGGCACCAAAUCUUUUUU